GGGCUAUUAGCUCAGUUGGUUAGAGCACACCCCUGAUAAGGGUGAGGCCCCUGGUUCAAGCCCAGGAUGGCCC
rnacentral:tRNA from 1 species